rnacentral:lncRNA from 1 species
UCCACCACAAAGCUCUGCUCUUGCGAUUAGGGUCCGCCAAGUCCAGUUCGACUUCCACGAAACAAAAAUCGCAAAAAACCAAAAAAAAAAAAAGUUAUAUAACUAAAAUAAAUUAGUUCAAAAUAUAUCAGAACAGAAGAGAGACACGGUCAGUGUCCUUUCGUUGAGGGUUAACAGACCAGCUUCCUUUUUUCUUUUGUGCUUAUGGGGUAGGCCGUGAAGAAGAAGAAGAAGUUGGGAGGGGCUUCAGGACAUGGGGAUCCAGUCACAGGCCCAAAUCUUC